GUGCUGUUCACGACAUUUCGCGUGAUCCUACGGCUGUUUUAUCCGUAUUUCAAUUUCACACUAGGUAGAUCAUUACAGGUCCUAUAUUUCAAUAUACAAUUUUACCACCAUGUUCGCGCGAGAACAAACUCUGUAACCUAACCUUGUACAUUAUCAUGGUAACCUUUACAAUUUAAUGUCGUUAAAUUCAUUACGCAGUCGCUACAGUGCACCUAGUUGAUUUUACACCAGAAAUUUAUUUUGUACUGUACAAUAUUGGCACAGUAUGUUUCACUCGAACGGAAAAAUGAAAUAUUUCAGCCGGACGGACUCGAAACGGGGGGGAGGAGAUUUCUUGGAUAGUGUAGGCGUUUCAAUAUUUUAACCCUUGCCACGGCGUA